CUCCAGACUCCUACGGGAGGCAGCAGUGGGGAAUAUUGCACAAUGGGGGAAACCCUGAUGCAGCGACGCCGCGUGAGCGAUGAAGUAUUUCGGUAUGUAAAGCUCUAUCAGCAGGGAAGAAGAUGACGGUACCUGACUAAGAAGCCCCGGCUAACUACGUGCCAGCAGCCGCGGUAAUACGUAGGGGGCAAGCGUUAUCCGGAUUUACUGGGUGUAAAGGGAGCGUAGACGGCGAUGCAAGCCAGAUGUGAAAGCCCGGGGCUCAACCCCGGGACUGCAUUUGGAACUGUGUGGCUGGAGUGUCGGAGAGGCAGGCGGAAUUCCUAGUGUAGCGGUGAAAUGCGUAGAUAUUAGGAGGAACACCAGUGGCGAAGGCGGCCUGCUGGACGAUGACUGACGUUGAGGCUCGAAAGCGUGGGGAGCAAACAGGAUUAGAUACCCCGGUA
rnacentral:rRNA from 1 species